UACAGAGGUCCCAAGCGUUGUUCGGAUUCACUGGGCGUAAAGGGUGCGCAGGUGGGUUUGCAAGUUCGAUGUGAAAGCCCCGGGCUUAACCCGGGAAUGGCAUUGGAUACUGCAGAUCUGGAGGAUCGGAGGGGGGACUGGAAUUCUUGGUGUAGCAGUGAAAUGCGUAGAUAUCAAGAGGAACACCAGUGGCGAAGGCGGGUCUCUGGGCCGAUACUGACGCUGAGGAGCGAAAGCGUGGGGAGCGAACAGG
rnacentral:rRNA from 1 species